rnacentral:rRNA from 1 species
GACGUAGGAUGCGAGCGUUAUUCGGAUUUAUUGGGCGUAAAGCGUGCGUAGGCGGCUACUUAAGUCUGGUGUUAAAGCUAGGGGCUCAACCCCUGUGAUGCACUGGAUACUGGGUAGCUUGAGUGCGGUAGGGGAAGGUGGAAUUCCGAGUGUAGCGGUGAAAUGCGUAGAUAUUCGGAAGAACACCGGUGGCGAAGGCGACCUUCUGGGCCGCAACUGACGCUGAGGCACGAAAGCCUGGGGAGCGAACGGG